AAAAGUCGUAACAAGGUCUCCGUUGGUGAACCAGCGGAGGGAUCAUUACCGAGUUUACAACUCCAAACCCAACCGUGAACCGUACCUCUCGUUGCUUCGGCGGGAACGCCCCGGCCAGCCCGGAACCAGGCGCCCGCCGGAGACCACCCGAACUAUAUUUUUCCUGUAACGUCCUCUGAGUGGCAACGCAAAAAUAAAUCAAAACUUUCAACAACGGAUCUCUUGGCUCUGGCAUCGAUGAAGAACGCAGCGAAAUGCGAUAAGUAAUGUGAAUUGCAGAAUUCAGUGAAUCAUCGAAUCUUUGAACGCACAUUGCGCCCGCCAGCACUCUGGCGGGCAUGCCUGUCCGAGCGUCAUUUCAACCCUCAGGGCCCCCCCUCUCGCGGGGGGUGGGACCUGGCGUUGGGGAUCGGCCCGCCCAGCGCGGCGCCGUCCCCGAAAUACAGUGGCGGUCCCGCCGCAGCCUCCCCUGCGUAGUAGAAACACCUCGCACCGGAGCGCGGCGCGGCCACGCCGUGAAACCCCCCACUUCUGAACGU
rnacentral:misc_RNA from 1 species